UGCCUUAUGUGACACACACACAAGACAGCCAUUCCUAUCCUGAACAGCUACAGGAGCCAGAGCAGAGAGACAAAAUCUUGUUAUUACUUUGUUUUCCCCUGCUAUUCUUCAAUAUGGGCAUCUUUUGACAUCUUUUGCCGAACAGUGGAUUCAAAGCAUAUUGUGGACACAGUAGGCCUAUAUUGACGUGAGACCAUGCAGAAAAUGCUACUUUCUCUCAACCUCCUGGAUCAGCAUUCAGCAGCCUCGUGACACAGUUGAAGCCAUUAUCGAAUUCUUUGCGUGUAUGUACCCUGGAUCAAGCAGCACUUGCAUUAUACAGGAGAUUCCACCCAAAAUCUAAACCAUGAGUCCAAGCUAAAGAGGAAUAUUUCCAAAAUGAGGUCUACACACACACACAGGUUACUUUCCCCUUCAUUAUAGAGAUAAAGAGAGAGAGAGAUGGGGGGAUGAGUUAUAGCCACGAACCUGAAUAGCUUAGAUGUAGAACUGAGAUGCCCAUCCAUGUCACUUGCCAUUUUGAUGAAUUACAGGGUUUACAAACAUACAUAUUAACCCUUUGGGUAAAAGAUCUCGGUAUUUGCGUAAAUUUGUUAUUACUAUUUAUGAAGUAGACCUGUUUCAUAAUGCUAUGUAGUAGAUCAGUCUCAUACUCGACCCCACCCCCUUCAUAUCACAAUGUCAAUUCCUAAAACCUGUGGCUAAUUAUAUAAGUUGGUAAUAGAGAAAAAUUGAAUGAGGUAGAUGCAAUACAAAUUGAUUCCAAUCUUAAGCACUUAAGACUUUAUUCAGGUAUGGCACGUGAACCGCCCAAAAAAUUCCAAAAAUGCUGCAGUUUUGUUUUAUGUCUAAAGUGAACGGUAACAAAGGACCUACAUGUUUUUGUAUAUUUUGGACUGCGCAUAUUCAGUGAUCUCUGUAUUAUAAUAUAUAGAAAUGUA
rnacentral:lncRNA from 1 species